AGGUAGGCGGAAUGUGUAAUGUUAGCGGUGAAAAGCUUAGAUAUUUACGCAGAACACCGAUUGCGAAGGCAGCUUACUGGGGCCAUUACUGACGCUGAGGGCACGAAAGGCGUGGGGAGCGAAACAGGAUUAGAUACCCUGGUAGUCCACGCCGUAAAGGAUGAUCACUCGCUGUUGGCGAUACACAGUCAGCGGCUAAGCAAAAGCAUUAAGUGAUCCACCUGGGGAGUACGGCCGCAAGGCUGAAACUCAAAGGAAUUGACGGGGGCCCGCACAGGCGGAGGAACAUGUGGUUUAAUUCGAUGAUACGCGAGGAACCUUACCUGGGCUUAAAUGUAGAGUGCAUGGGGUAGAAAUAUCCCUUUCCUUCGGGACUCUUUGCAAGGUGCUGCAUGGUUGUCGUCAGCUCGUGCCGUGAGGUGUCGGGUUAAGUCCCAUAACGAGCGCAACCCUUAUCGUUAGUUGCCAGCGGGUAAUGCCGGGAACUCUAACGAAACUGCCGGUGUAAACCGUGAGGAAGGUGGGGAUGACGUCAAAUCAGCACGGCCCUUAUGUCCAGGGCUACACACGUGUUACAAUGGCCGGUACAGAGGGCAGCUACCUGGAGACAGGAUGCGAAUCUCCAAAGCCGGUCUCAGUUCGGAUCGGAGUCUGCAACUCGACUCCGUGAAGCUGGAUUCGCUAGUAAUCGCGCAUCAGCCAUGGCGCGGUGAAUACGUUCCCGGGCCUUGUACACACCGCCCGUCAAGCCAUGGAAGUUGGGGGUACCUGAAGUCCGUAACCGUAAGGAGCGGCCUAGGGUAAAACUAGUGACUGGGGCUAAGUCGUAACAAGGUA
rnacentral:rRNA from 1 species